CAAUAGCGUAUAUUAAAGUUGUUGCAGUUAGAAAGCUCGUAGUUGGAUUUCUGUGAGAGUGCCGGUGUCGGCUGAUGCUUGUACGCAGGCGCUCUUACAUCCUUCUGUUAACUGUUCUUGGCAUUUUAUUGCUGGUUCAGGGCUCAGAUAUUUUACCUUGAGAAAAUUAGAGUGUUUCAGGCAGGCUUAUGCCGGAAUACAUUAGCAUGGAAUAAUGGAACAGGACCUGUGCGUCUCUCGGGGCGCCGGUCUCCGUUGUUGGUUUCGGGGACUAAUGUAAUGAUUAAUAGGGAUAGUUGGGGGCAUUAGUAUUUAAUAGUCAGAGGUGAAAUUCUCGGAUUUGUUAAAGACUAACUUAUGCGAAAGCAUUUGCCAAGGAUGUUUUCAUUAA
rnacentral:rRNA from 1 species